AUGGCUCUUUUUCUGUUGUUGACAUCAUAUCAUAACAAAAUGUUCAAUUCUUGUUACAGUGUCUCUCAGAGGUUUGAAGGUAAAGUCAAGUUCUUUUGGAAUCUGUUCUGUGCAGCAGCAGAGAGAGAACAGCAGACAGGAGAGAAGAUACUGGAGCUGUUAUCAUCAGUGUGCAGAUAUGAAACAUUCCCUUUUAAUGAAGAGUAUGAUGAUGUUGAGGAAUAUCAGUAUGAUUUCCUGUUUGAUCUUUGCUCCCACCUGAAGGACUAUGAGACUAAAACAGGCUUGAGUGUCCUUCCAUCAUUACCGUCAGUUCUCCAGUCAGCUCCUGCAGUCUGGUACAUAAACCUCUCAGAGAGAAAGCCCUCCAUCCUCCUGGAAGUGCUGAAACUCCAAUCAGAGAAGAAACAAGUGGAGCUGACAGACUGCUCACAUGAAGAGAGUGAAGUGAGGAGUUUCCUACAGUGUCUGCCUUAUAUCUCACAGCUCAGCUCUUCGUCUGUAUAUUCCGGCUCGAAAAGAUAAGGACGUCCAUCAAACUGAAAGGGUUCGUUGUCGAUGUCUUCAAAUUCAGUUGAAUAAUCCGCCAUCUCUUCAGUGUGUAUCCUGUGGAAGCACUAGUAGACUAGUAGUCUCUGUUGCGUUCAGGGCUUUCUUCCGGCAACAACGUGAGUUCACGUGAGAUGGUGCGUUCAAGUCACAUCUCAGAGAGUUGGACUGGUCACCACUGUUUUCCCAAGAUGGCGCCCGCCUGUAUAUGUGAACACUACUGUUGUUCUAAACUAUCUUUUUAAUAAACUGUCUGUACACUUACAAAGUUAUCAAUGCUUCAGUUUACAGGUAGGGGCCCUCAUUAUGCUACCGUGUAAGUGUGGUGCUAUUUUGAGUCUUGUUUGUGGAAUAGAAAUAGAUUUCUUUUCACGUUACUCGGUGCCCCGUUGACCAGCGUUAUAAGCUAAUUAGAGGUUUGUGCUAAAACUGGUCACGUGCGAUUAAAAUGAAAACAUAUCCCAGAGACCGAACCAACUCGGGACACAUGUGUUAUUAACCCCAGGUUCAUUUUGUGCCGGAAUUGUCCUUUAAUAUAGUUUGAUAUUAUCACAGCUAAUAACACACAUACAAUUAGACUAUUUCAUCUGACUGUACAAAUGUUCUCUCAAUUCAACAUAAUCUGUACAUUAGAUGGUUUGUCCCAUAAGAUUGUUCCUGCCAAUAAAACAGUGGUCAAUUCCUAAUUUAAUAAUUAGUGCAUUUUAAUACCCAAUCUACAAUGUUGUUAAGAAUAGUACUAUAAUAAAUAACUAAAUGGCUACACUAUAAACAUAAAGCUUUAAAUAUACUCUGUGAUCAGUAUCAGAUACUGCUUCUAGUGAGCGGUCUCAAAAACCCGACCGGAGCACCUUUAGAGUUUCAUCUUGGAAAACAAUAGACAGCACAGCAAUGUCACGCUACCGCUGACUGGUGGUCUGUAGGCUGUGUAGCUACUGAGGCACACAGACAAAUCUCUCUACACACGCACACAAAUCCCCACAUGCAUUUGCAGAUCUGCCACAGCAGAAGUUUAGCAAAAGUCAUGUCUAAAAAGAGCCAAUUGAGAGUCUUGUCUGAGUUGUAACCGAUGAAUUGUCUGUAUUUCCAGCUCUCGGAGCAAAAAGUUAGACUGAGUCAUUAAUAUGUUUGUCUGCUUUUACAGAUUUCUCUACAUAUUUACAAAUCUCAAUACAUUUCUUGAUCUGAUUAUACAAACACACAUAUUUAAACAUAGCUACACAAUUCUCCACUCACAUUUGUGAAUAGUUUGCUACCAUAGAUAUGUUAAGAUACUUGGAGAGAUAUUCACUUAGAAAAAUCUUGGUAACAAUUUCCACACAGAAAUUCUUAGUAAAAUUCACAGAGGAUAUUUCAAGUGACCUUUUAUUUAUGUUUAAGACUAGUCUCUAUUAAAACGUCUUAAAUUAACUUUAAUAGCUGUUUUUUUCUUUGUCAGUAAAUUUUCCAUGGCAGUUUUACUUAGACUAUGUACCGUAAAACUUCCAAUAAAAACAGGGUCCCAAAUAAACACAGGUCUCCAAUAAAGGCCUGGUCUGGAUUUUAUAGAAAUGAUCUCGAUGUAUAAAACCUCUUAAAACCCACCGGGUCGCCCGUGUUAUAUCCCAACUGGUGUUCAAACUAACUGGUUGCUGUACGUGUGUGCGUGUUGUGUGCUGCAGCUGUGAUGUGUCUCUGUCACCAGAUUCGUCAGACAUUCACAAACAUAUUACUGGUGAUUUUCAAGUCUCAUAUCUACAGUAGUAGAUGUAUAAGUGAGCCCUACAUUACAGCCACACACACAAAAAAUACAUUCUAGAAAAUAUAAGUUUAAAUAGCAUCAAGCUGGAUUCGAUCUCACUGGAUCAAAACCAAUACAGUUCCCCAACGUAUUGCUUUUGUCCAUGAGCCACUGGAGUGACUCUGUCUCACUGCUUCCAGUCAUGUAUUGAUUGAUUACGUCAGCACCCAGGUAACAUUUAUUUGGGGGUUGAUCUAAAACAACUGGUUACCUCGUGCUCGUUGUUGAAAAUAUACAAACAUGUUUAUCAGAGUUCUUUCUCGAGGCUACCGUCACACUGACCACUAUAUUACAGCCCCCUAUGACACUAGAAAUUAUGACAAAUAAAUAUUUUCAGACAGUGAAGAUGUAACUUAGAUAAUACUGUCAAAGUAUACGAAGCGAUUGUGAGCCACACACAGAUUGUUUGUGUUAGUUCAUUCAGAUUUACCAGCACUGUAAACAACAGAGACAGAAAAAACUCUGAAUCGAUCAUAAAUUCUGUACAGUCUGUGUCCGUUCCUCCAUUGUUUAUAUUCCUUUAGUAGUAGUCCUUUCAUACGUAAUAUGGAGCCCCUAAAGGGACAUGGGGAAAAAAGAGUGAAACGUUUCUCGUGAGCACGAGAAAUGGAUCUUGUGAGCAUGUGCUUCCUGUGUGUUAU
rnacentral:lncRNA from 15 species